GCAAGUCGAGCGGACAGAAGGGAGCUUGCUCCCGGAUGUUAGCGGCGGACGGGUGAGUAACACGUGGGUAACCUGCCUGUAAGACUGGGAUAACUCCGGGAAACCGGAGCUAAUACCGGAUAGUUCCUUGAACCGCAUGGUUCAAGGAUGAAAGACGGUUUCGGCUGUCACUUACAGAUGGACCCGCGGCGCAUUAGCUAGUUGGUGAGGUAACGGCUCACCAAGGCGACGAUGCGUAGCCGACCUGAGAGGGUGAUCGGCCACACUGGGACUGAGACACGGCCCAGACUCCUACGGGAGGCAGCAGUAGGGAAUCUUCCGCAAUGGACGAAAGUCUGACGGAGCAACGCCGCGUGAGUGAUGAAGGUUUUCGGAUCGUAAAGCUCUGUUGUUAGGGAAGAACAAGUGCAAGAGUAACUGCUUGCACCUUGACGGUACCUAACCAGAAAGCCACGGCUAACUACGUGCCAGCAGCCGCGGUAAUACGUAGGUGGCAAGCGUUGUCCGGAAUUAUUGGGCGUAAAGGGCUCGCAGGCGGUUUCUUAAGUCUGAUGUGAAAGCCCCCGGCUCAACCGGGGAGGGUCAUUGGAAACUGGGAAACUUGAGUGCAGAAGAGGAGAGUGGAAUUCCACGUGUAGCGGUGAAAUGCGCAGAGAUGUGGAGGAACACCAGUGGCGAAAGGCGACUCUCUGGCCUGUAACUGACGCUGAUGAG
rnacentral:rRNA from 1 species